UACGUAGGGGGCAAGCGUUGUCCGGAAUCAUUGGGCGUAAAGCGCGCGUAGGCGGCCCGGUAAGUCCGCUGUAAAAGUCCAGGGCUCAACCCUGGAAAGCCGGUGGAUACUGUCGGGCUAGAGUCCGGAAGAGGCGAGUGGAAUUCCUGGUGUAGCGGUGGAAUGCGCAGAUAUCGGGAGGAACACCAAUGGCGAAGGCAGCACUCUGGGACGGUACUGACGCUGAGACGCGAAAAGCGUGGGGAGCGAACAGG
rnacentral:rRNA from 1 species